rnacentral:rRNA from 1 species
UUGAUGACGAGUGGCGGACGGGUGAGUAAUGCUUGGGAAUCUAGCUUAUGGAGGGGGAUAACUACUGGAAACGGUAGCUAAUACCGCAUAACGUCGCAAGACCAAAGAGGGGGACCUUCGGGCCUCUUGCCAUCGGAUGUGCCCAGAUGGGAUUAGCUAGUAGGUGGGGUAACGGCUCACCUAUGCGACGAUCCCUAGCUGGUCUGAGAGGAUGACCAGCCACACUGGGACUGAGACACGGCCCAGACUCC